rfam:Picea glauca, whole genome shotgun sequence.
CUCAAAGUUCACAGCAACACGAUCCCGAUCCACCAGAUCCCAUUAGAACUCCACAGUUAAACACACUCGGGAUAUAGUAGUAUUGGGAUGGGUGACCACUUGGGAAGUCCUAGUAUUUUACAUG